CAGCAGCCGCGGUAAUACGGAGGGUGCAAGCGUUACUCGGAAUCACUGGGCGUAAAGCGCGCGCAGGCGGCUAUUUAAGUUGGAUGUGAAAGCCUACGGCUCAACCGUAGAACUGCAUCCAAAACUAUUUAGCUAGAGUGUGGGAGAGGAAGAUGGAAUUAGUUGUGUAGGGGUAAAAUCCGUAGAGAUAACUAGGAAUACCAAAAGCGAAGGCAAUCUUCUGGAACAUUACUGACGCUGAGGCGCGAAAGCGUGGGGAGCAAACAGGAUUAGAUACCCUGGUAGUCCACGCCCUAAACGAUGAAUGUUAGUCGUCGGGUAGCUAGUCUAUUCGGUGAUGCAGCUAACGCAUUAAACAUUCCGCCUGGGGAGUACGGUCGCAAGAUUAAAACUCAAAGGAAUAGACGGGGACCCGCACAAGUGGUGGAGCAUGUGGUUUAAUUCGAAGAUACGCGAAGAACCUUACCUAGCCUUGACAUAUAUUAGAACAUUUUAGAGAUAAGAUGGUGCCUUCGGGAGCUUUUAUACAGGUGCUGCACGGCUGUCGUCAGCUCGUGUCGUGAGAUGUUGGGUUAAGUCCCGCAACGAGCGCAACCCUCGUCACUAGUUACUAACGGUUCGGCCGAGGACUCUAGUGAGACUGCCUUCGCAAGGAGGAGGAAGGUGAGGACGACGUCAAGUCAUCAUGGCCCUUACGGCUAGGGCAACACACGUGCUACAAUGGCCAGGACAAUGAGACGCGAUACCGCGAGGUGGAGCAAAUCUAUAAACCUGGUCUCAGUUCGGAUUGUUCUCUGCAACUCGAGAACAUGAAGCUGGAAUC
rnacentral:rRNA from 1 species